rnacentral:rRNA from 1 species
AUUGAACGCUGGCGGAAUGCUUUACACAUGCAAGUCGAACGGCAGCACGGGGGCAACCCUGGUGGCGAGUGGCGAACGGGUGAGUAAUACAUCGGAACGUGCCCAGUCGUGGGGGAUAACGUAGCGAAAGUUACGCUAAUACCGCAUACGAUCUACGGAUGAAAGCGGGGGACCGUAAGGCCUCGCGCGAUUGGAGCGGCCGAUGUCAGAUUAGGUAGUUGGUGAGGUAAAGGCUCACCAAGCCGACGAUCUGUAGCUGGUCUGAGAGGACGACCAGCCACAAUGGGACUGAGACACGGCCCAGACUCCUACGGGAGGCAGCAGUGGGGAAUUUUGGACAAUGGGCGCAAGCCUGAUCCAGCCAUUCCGCGUGCAGGACGAAGGCCUUCGGGUUGUAAACUGCUUUUGUACAGAACGAAAAGGCUCUGGUUAAUACAAGGGGCUCAUGACGGUACCGUAAGAAUAAGCACCGGCUAACUACGUGCCAGCCGCCGCGGUAA